CUUGAGUGCAGAAGAGGAGAGUGGAAUUACACGUGUAGCGGUGAAAUGCGUAGAGAUGUGGAGGAACACCAGUGGCGAAGGCGACUCUCUGGUCUGUAACUGACGCUGAGGAGCGAAAGCGUGGGGAGCGAACAGGAUUAGAUACCCUGGUAGUCCACGCCGUAAACGAUGAGUGCUAAGUGUUAGGGGGUUUCCGCCCCUUAGUGCUGCAGCUAACGCAUUAAGCACUCCGCCUGGGGAGUACGGUCGCAAGACUGAAACUCAAAGGAAUUGACGGGGGCCCGCACAAGCGGUGGAGCAUGUGGUUUAAUUCGAAGCAACGCGAAGAACCUUACCAGGUCUUGACAUCCUCUGACAAUCCUAGAGAUAGGACGUCCCCUUCGGGGGCAGAGUGACAGGUGGUGCAUGGUUGUCGUCAGCUCGUGUCGUGAGAUGUUGGGUUAAGUCCCGCAACGAGCGCAACCCUUGAUCUUAGUUGCCAGCAUUCAGUUGGGCACUCUAAGGUGACUGCCGGUGACAAACCGGAGGAAGGUGGGGAUGACGUCAAAUCAUCAUGCCCCUUAUGACCUGGGCUACACACGUGCUACAAUGGACAGAACAAAGGGCAGCGAAACCGCGAGGUUAAGCCAAUCCCACAAAUCUGUUCUCAGUUCGGAUCGCAGUCUGCAACUCGACUGCGUGAAGCUGGAAUCGCUAGUAAUCGCGGAUCAGCAUGCCGCGGUGA
rnacentral:rRNA from 1 species